CCUCACUCCUCUUCAAGAAAACUCCCUGGAUCAACCCUGCCUGCCAGCCAUGCCGCUCACCUCCGACCGCCUGCUCUGCACUGCUCACCUGCCAGUCUGGGCAAAUUUGGACUCCUGUUCCCCUGUGCUCAGCUCCCAGUCAUCGUCUCUGUCUCUCAACCAUCCUGCUCAGCCAGACCUGACUUGCCCUUCUCUCGAGCUCCCAAAACAGCCAGGAAACCGAUCUACCGGAGCCCCGGACCUCAGAUCUCCUCAUACAACUUAAGCAAGCAUAAUAAAUAACUUUUUACUAAC